UACGGAGGUUGCAAGCGUUAUCCGGAUUCAUUGGGUUUAAAGGGUGCGUAGGCGGGACGGUAAGUCAGUGGUGAAAGCCUGCAGCUUAACUGUAGAAUUGCCAUUGAUACUGCUGUUCUUGAGUGCAGUUGAGGUGGGCGGAAUGUGUAGUGUAGCGGUGAAAUGCUUAGAUAUUACACAGAACACCGAUUGCGAAGGCAGCUCACUAAACUGUAACUGACGCUGAGGCUCGAAAGUGUGGGGAUCAAACAGG
rnacentral:rRNA from 1 species